AAAGAACAAAAUUGAGUGAGGAAGUAUUGGUUCUAUAUCAAUUCAUAUAGUUACUAUUUAUAUAGUGAAUUUGGAUCCUCAUAAGGACAUUAGUGUUCUUUCUCUCAAUUAAGUUAAGAGAUUAAUUCAUGAAGAUCAAACUCAAUACCUUCAAGAAUUAAAGUAUGAAGUGUCAUAAAAGUAUUGACUGAAAAGAAAAUUCAUGUUCGU
rnacentral:lncRNA from 1 species